UCAGUGUAUUGCUCAGAAAUGUGGGGACUCUUUGUAAACACUAGAACAGCUUCAAUAGUAAUUAAAUUUGAUCGCCAGUUUUUAUCACCAGGUUUGGGGCCCAUCUGAUAUCUGUGCUUCUGGUUUAGAUAUGCACCUGCAGUGUCACAGACAGAAUCAAAGCGUCUCCUUUGGACUACAAUUCCCAGCGUUCAUAGCGCAUCAAGAACACGGAAGCACCGCCGUCAUUCAUCAUGAAAGUGCUGCUGCUGUUGAAAAUGUGAUCAGCAGAGGGUGCUGCAGAGCCAGGAAAGACCUUCAUGUGAUGACAUCAGCUCUUCUACCAUCUCCUACAUUUUUAGUUCUCAUCAGCUACUUAUGAGCACAUUGAAACAUUCAUCCAUGUGUAUUUACCAGACAGCAGCGACCUGACCGCAGUGAUGGGAGCUGCGGUUAAACUGGAACAGAAAGAUUUGGAAUGGAGUUUGAUUCUAAAAGAAAUAAAGUACAGCAGGAAAAAAAAAAUAGCUGAAUAAUUAUCAUUACAUUAAAUUUCAAGUGGAAAAACAAAAUUCACAUAACAAAUUCCACUCUUUAUUUUUAAGAUACAUGCCAACAAAUCCUUUAUUUUUAAGAGUGGUCAGGUGUUCAAUAUUUUCAAUGUUGUACUUGUUUCUUUCCUAAAGCGACCAAGAGGACAAUGUUUAGCUGGCCUGAUGUAACUACACCAUCUGGCAGCAAAAAACAUCUUUAUCCACCGAUGGACAUUCAAUAGACGAUAUGUAUUCUGAAAUAUUAAAAUCCUUUGCAACAUUUGAAUUGCUAAUAUUCUUUUAGGGGGCUCUUAACAUGUGUCUUAUAUUUGUCC